AGAGUUUGAUCAUGGCUCAGGAUAAACGCUGGCGGCGCACAUAAGACAUGCAAGUCGAACGAACUUAACCAUUAGUUUACUAUUGGAGCGGUUAGUGGCGGACUGGUGAGUAACACGUAAGCAACCUGCCUAUCAGAGGGGAACAACAGUUAGAAAUGACUGCUAAUACCGCAUAUGCCUUAGAAUCACAUGGUUCAAAAGGGAAGGAGCAAUCCGCUGAUAGAUGGGCUUGCGUCUGAUUAGCUAGUUGGUGGGGUAACGGCCUACCAAGGCGACGAUCAGUAGCCGAACUGAGAGGUUGAACGGCCACAUUGGGACUGAGAGUACGGCCCAGACCUCCUACGGGAGGCA
rnacentral:rRNA from 1 species